rnacentral:lncRNA from 1 species
AUGAUAUGUAUAAAUUCUAUUAUGGUUCAUAAAAUGAUGUUCAUUCUAGACCCAAAUUAUGUACGCUAUUUUCAUAGACAGUACCCUAAUAUUGACCCCAAAUGUCUUUUUCCAGCUCAGAAUUGGCCUAAAGAAAGUGGAAGUGAGAAACACACAGGCCGGUCAGAGGCACACAGCUGCCUUCUCUCCCAGCUGACUUUGGGCAACCACACAAGGCAAAGCCAGAGGAACCAAGAAAGGUAUUAAUUGGCAUCUACUGAACCCCGAAGACCUUCACUAGCAUUAGUGGAGCGUCAAACAAGGAAUGAACUCACUAACCAGGAUGGCCAAAGUGGGAAGCAUGAAGAGAAGUGCAUUCUGAGACUUAUUUUAAAGGAGCCGGGGAGCAAGUGCCAAACCCUUCCGCACACGGGCUCUCACUGUCCCCCUCCCUGCUCCCGGAGGUGGCGAUUAUGUGUCCCUGCUUGGCUCAGGCCUGAAGCACACCCUGGCCGGGAGGCAGCUGGCACUGGCCCAGGCAUGAAUCCGUGCCUACCCCUCCGGGCCCCACUUCCAGCAGGUCACCCGGGUCUGUGUUGUCACCUUGAAACAUUCGAGAGAGUUGUGAGCUUCAGAAGGUGAGACGUGUGGGGCUGGGGGCAGGGCAGGCCAGCCCGGGAGGGUGGCUGGAGAGCUUUUGACAGCCCAGAGCAGAGCCCAGGGUCCUAUUCCUGACAACGUGAGCCCCCAGGCAGGCGCCGAGUGGAUAAGAGUGUAGACAGUGAGGCCGGCCGUGAUGCUUGCCAGCACCUGCAGAUAGCAGGCAAAUAAUUGGCACAUGUUUAAAAAAAAAUUAAAAAGCUAUUGGAUGUGAGUAUUUUCUAACAGCGUCUGGCGGGAGUGCCCGGGAGGAAUUUAAUCAGCAAGAGUUGUUUAAACGGGGCUUUGCACACAGGCCCUGGCGAGGCUCGUAAUGAACUCCGUAUCAUGUGCCACCCCUGUCUGCUGGGGACAUUCAAUUUGUUAAUUCUGCAGCUGGUGAGAGAGGUCAGAUAGGAAAGUGACGAUUGUUUUCUGACGUUCCAGCCCCUGCUCACAUCUUUCUAAUUAAUCCUUUUAGGAGCCACGGGUAGAUUAAGAAGGAGAAAAGGUGCAGGCAGCAAGCGUGAGAGAAAUUGAUGGGAAGACA